GCCUGGUAAGCCAGAUCGGGAACCGUAGUGACAAGUGGUGCGCCGCAGGAAAAAGUUGCAAGAGCCAAUAAUUGAUCCAUCGCCGAAUGGUUAAAGAGGAAAGACGAAGAUUUGGCGGUUGACAGUUGCUGAUGAUGAUGGCGGGAAAAGACAGAGGAUCAGAGAUCAGAAUCACCGUGGUGACUCAUAUCAAUCGAUCGACCAACAAUCAGUAGAUUUGGUCUACAACUUGAGCUCCAAAGUCUGAAUCUGAAUGGUGAAGGAGGGGCCUUAGUCAAUUCAGUUUACAGUAUCUCCGACGUUGGUUUACUACCCUGGCAAAGGAUCAUAAUUCCUACUUUCCCCAUCAUUGUUCUUCAUACAAACACGCAUACGAUACCAAAAAAGUAAGAGAGGAAGGGUAAUCGACCGCUUGGCCAGCUAUAAUCCUCAACUCGGUCUCGUCCUCUACUGCAGCCACCCAAUCCUGACUUGGUCCUCUGUAUUAACUGAUGCGAACGUUUUUUGAGGAGUUCUUAAUGCCCAAGAAGGGGUCAUUGUAUUAUAUAACACGUUUUGAGGGUGUGAGCGGCGCAGCGUCCCUCAGUUUCUUCAAUUGCUCAGACAUGUCUUUACCGAGAGCAUCAUGGCGGAGUUGCAAGCCUCGCAGCAGGUCUUCCCUUCGGAUGCCCUCACCAUUUGGAGGGGUAGAUUUGAGGAGAAGUCUUUGGAAGUCAGCCAGCUCGCUCUUGAGCUCUCCAUUCUCCUCCACAACUUGAUUGUGCUGGUCUUCGAGAUUGAAGAACUCGUUCUCUAGACGAGCGUAUUUGGACUCCAUUGUGCUAUAUUUAGUGGCACUCAAUGACGCCGCAGACAGUUGCUUUCUCUGCUCCUGCACAUCUUUCUCCAUGGCUGCUAGCCUCGACUCCAGCACUCUCCUGGCCUUACGCUCAUCCUCGAGAGCCAUGGACACAUCCUUUUCCUCUGGCCCAAGCGAUGCUCUGGCUGAUCGAGCGUCUUUGCUUUUGCUAGCUUUCAGUUGAUCAUAUUGUCGAGCAAGAUCUUCGAGAUCGGCAUUAAGUCGAUUUCGAUGAGUUUCGAGCGAUUUGAGAAGCUUGUUAAGUCGAGUGUUCUCACUGAUCUGCUCCGCAAGUUGCUGGUCUGUGAACUUUUUGGCAGCUUCCAUCACAUGGUAAUGCUCAACAACCGUCUUGUUCUCUCGACUUCGGAGAUACUCAAUCUCCUUGUCGCGCACCUUAAUAUCAGAAGCAGCCUUGGCGAGAUCUCGUUCGGCUUGAAGCGCAACGUUCCGAUGUUCAGCAACCUCGACUUGAUUGUCGUAUAAUUCUUGCUCAAAUUUCUGACGUUUGGCAGACUCUUCUUGCAGCUGGCGAGUAACAUUAUUGAGGGACUUGGCCCAGUUGGCUUUGUCGGCCUCAAUUUCGAGGACAGCGUCUUCGAGGCUGUUGUAAUCUUCUUGCAAAGUUUGCAACUGGUUCUCGAGGUUCUACGAAGUGACUAUCAGCGUAUACUCUUGGAUGAUGCCAAUGAACUUACAUCUCUGGCUUGAACCGUGCUCUGCAGCGUUCUUUCUAUCUCCUCCUUCUGCUCCUUCAGCCUCGACAGCUCACUCUCCACUUUUCUUCUCUCGCUCUCCAUUUGAAUUACGCUGGCCCGCAUUCUUUCCAUUUCUCUCUCUUUUUCCAUUAACUCGGCCUGUCUUGUUUUCAGUUCCCUUUGAGCCGUCGUAUGGCUCUGCUUCAAACCCUCGACAUCGACACGAAGUUUGUUAGCAAGUUGAAGAGCUGUUUCUCGUUGAUCGUCAAGAGACUUCUGAAGUCGAGCAACUUGUUCCCGAAGAUGGUCCAUCUCUUGUUCUCUUGAUCGAUCUGCUUCUCGGCGCUGUUCGUCUUCAGAUGUUUUGGCAGCCAUGACCUUUCUCAAAUCAUCGAGCUCCUUCUCUAAUUUUUGCCUUGCGCCAAUUUCAGCCUGCUUCUCCUUGUCACGGGUAACGACUUCCGAUUUGAGACCUUCAACCUUGACAUUGAGUUCGGC
rnacentral:sRNA from 1 species